rnacentral:tRNA from 1 species
GGUCAGCUCAGUCGGUUAGAGCAUGGUGCUGAUAAUACCAAGGUCACGGGUUCGAUCUCCAUUCAGUCCA